GUCAGCAGCCGCGGUAACACCGGCGGCCCGAGUGGUGAUCGUGAUUAUUGGGUCUAAAGGGUCCGUAGCCGGUUGGUCAGUCCUCCGGGAAAUCUGAUAGCUCAACUAUUAGGCUUUCGGGGGAUACUGCCAGACUUGGAACCGGGAGAGGUAAGAGGUACUACAGGGGUAGGAGUGAAAUCUUGUAAUCCCUGUGGGACCACCUGUGGCGAAGGCGUCUUACCAGAACGGGUUCGACGGUGAGGACGAAAGCUGGGGGCACGAACCGGAUUAGAUACCCGGGUAGUCCCAGCCGUAAACGAUGCUCGCUAGGUGUCAGGCAUGGCGCGACCGUGUCUGGUGCCGCAGGGAAGCCGUGAAGCGAGCCACCUGGGAAGUACGGCCGCAAGGCUGAAACUUAAAGGAAUUGGCGGGGGAGCACAACAACGGGUGGAGCCCUGCGGUUUAAUUGGACUCAACGCCGGACAACUCACCGGGGGCGACAGCAAUAUGUAGGCCAAGCUGAAGACUUUGCCUGAAUCGCUGAGAAGUGGUGCAUGG
rnacentral:rRNA from 1 species